UACGUAGGGUGCGAGCGUUAAUCGGAAUUACUGGGCGUAAAGCGUGCGCAGGCGGUUCGUUGUGUCGGCGGUGAAAGCCCCGGGCUUAACCUGGGAAUGGCCGUUGAAACUGGCGAACUGGAGUGUGGCAGAGGGGGGUGGAAUUCCGCGUGUAGCAGUGAAAUGCGUAGAGAUGCGGAGGAACACCGAUGGCGAAGGCAGCCUCCUGGGCCAGCACUGACGCUCAUGCACGAAAGCGUGGGGAGCAAACAGG
rnacentral:rRNA from 1 species